rnacentral:piRNA from 1 species
UGGGUUGUUAUAACAAUUUUA